UUGCUAAGCUGUGAUCAUUUGCCUUUUCUGUAUUUUAUGUUGCUAUGUCUUCAUUUAGAAAGUGACAGGCAGUGAUAGAAGCAUGGAAGAGCUCUGUCCUGGUUGGGGGAAUUGGAGGCUUUCCUCAUGAAAGACCACCUCAAACCACGAUGUCUACUGGUCUGCCUUGGCACAGCUCCAUUGGCGUUAUUGAUUCCGUUAAUGGAAAGUCGACUGCAGUGGACUUCUGCCAGUUUAUGCCAGCAGAAUACCCAGCUUCUGCAUUUUCAAGUGGUGCUGUGGUGUAUGGAGUAACCAUCUGGUCACCAUGCACAGAGCGUUGCCAACCUUGGGAAUAUGAGGUCCACCUCCAUCAAAACUUUAUAAUCCUCAGUAAAAUCCUUCUGAGACUUAUCUCCCUACUGUGUGCAAAGUGCAGUGGUGAAGUGCUGGUACCAAGCCUGACACCAUUGCACACAUAAAAACAAGAAAUGCACACUGAAGCGCACACUGGAGCACCAAAUACACUGCCCCUGUAAAGGAGUGGUCAGUGGGAAUUUUCACAAGCUUAGCAUCAUUUAAGCCACCACUGAGCAUACACAUUUUCUGUCCAUGAUGGGGAAAAAAAUAUUAUUUAAGCAAAAAAAAAAAAAAAAGCAACUCAGUGGCUGCACAGAUAUGAAUGGUUAUAAAACUGUCCACGAGUUCUUGAAGGUGAGAGGGAGACUCAUCUCAAAAGAAUAAGUUUCUAUGAGUUUCCAAAGAGCUCGAG
rnacentral:lncRNA from 1 species